rnacentral:rRNA from 1 species
UACGAAGGGGGCUAGCGUUGUUCGGAUUUACUGGGCGUAAAGCGCACGUAGGCGGAUCGUUAAGUCGGGGGUGAAAUCCUGGAGCUCAACUCCAGAACUGCCUUCGAUACUGGCGAUCUAGAGUCCGGAAGAGGUGAGUGGAACUCCUAGUGUAGAGGUGGAAUUCGUAGAUAUUAGGAAGAACACCAGUGGCGAAGGCGGCUCACUGGUCCGGUACUGACGCUGAGGUGCGAAAGCGGGGGGAGCAAACAGG